ensembl:lncRNA
CCUUAAUAGGCAGACAGAAGCACUCAGCAGUUUGUAGAAACUCCAGUCCAUAGUCAGGGAUGUAAAGAAAAUGAAAACUGGAAAACUGCAAGCUUUUGAAAUGCAGGUGUGAAUAUGAAGUCUGAAGGACAGCCUGAGGCUUGGUAUCUUGAGCCCAGUUUUGAGGCUUGUUUUCCAUGGGCUCAGGAGUUAGUAAUUUAGGAGGUUCCUAUUCAGAAACUCAAACUGGGAGUGGACUGAUGAGGAGAACUGGAAAUGCUGCUCUAGGCCAGCUAAAGGUAUUCAUCUAAAAUGUCUAGGAGAGGAGUGGAUGAGGGUACACGUAAACAGGGGUACUGAGAGUCCUGAGGCAUGCAGUACUACCUCAUCAGCAGUGCUAAUCACUGCCUUUACUGCUCUGCCUUCAAAUCCCCUCACAGCAUCCAAUGCCACCUCUACAAAGCUUGUUGUAAACAUGUUCCUCCAAAACUCUGGUAUCUGCCAAGAUCGCACAAGAAUAGUCACACUAAUGGUUCAUUAUAAAGCUCUAAUAUGUAUUUGAUGACAACACUUUUUCUGCAAUGUCCAUUGGUGUUUUAAUAGCUUUAAUAAUAGCACAUAGUAAUGGCAUUACUACUUGCCUGUGUAACACCCACCUUCACUAUGUUAUGCCAGCAAUAACUAAUGAACGCACAUUUUAGGAAAUUCAUCCACCUAGGUAUGGCUUCUCAGAGUAGGGUUUUAACCCCAGGGAAAAGAGAUGUGAGUUCAGGGUAGGUAAGAGAGAGGUUUGAUGUUCUUUUGGAGUCAUAUAUCAGCUUCCAGAUUGUGCUGAUGCAGAAAGCAGCUUAAAAAAAAUAUAGUUCCACCUGGGCUAUUCCUGUGCCUGCUGCUCCAGACUCAGCCAAGAACAGAAGACUUGCUGCACAAGCCAAGCUGCCAAGAGGAUGAAGGAUCAGAAACGUGGUGUUUUGAUGGGUUGUUCGUAAGUCCUAGCUGCAGAAAUCCUCAAAAAUCAGAAGAACAGAAGUCUAUGACAAUAGUUAAUAAGUCACUUCGAAACACUGAGGAAUUCACAUAUAGCUGAGACUUGGUUUUCUGCAGGGAGACAGUACGGUGUACUAUGUGAAAACUCAUCAGAGUAAGCAAUCCCAUUAAGUUCACACUGCAAAGGAAGGCCACAGUACUUCUGAAACUGCUACAGCUUUGAAUCCUUUUUCUUUCUUUCUUUCUUUUUUCUUUUUUAAUUAUAACUGGUCCUGUUUUCAGAAGGCCCUGCUUUAGAGUGGGAGCUCAGCAGAGAAUUCAGCUGCUAAGGAAAUGGCAGGUUAGGGCAAAAGGUGAGUUAGGAUUAAAAUGUAACUCCGUAGUUUUCUUAAAAUGAUAUUCUUUAGACUUCCAGCAGUCAAGAACAAAGUGAAAGUAUAUGCAGAAAGAUACAGCACGUCUGUAGUUUGCUCCCUUAUUCUCAAGACAAUAACUAUGGCGAUUAAAUUAUUCAGUGUAAACAUAAAAUAAUCUGUCAUAACUGAGAGUACUAAAGCUCAGAUAGGCUCUAAGAGAAGAGCAUGUGGUGCAUGGAUCUUUAUCCCCAGGUUGACCAGUGAUUAAGGAUCAGCAACAACACUGUGCCACAAGCACUGAAGAUGAAAGACCGUUGAUAUGCAAGUGAAUCCCUAGAUGCCACUACAGUUUUAAGGGAGACUGUUUCCCUCGCUACGCCUACAACACACGUCACAUCAGGAAUCAAAGUAGAAAAGCUUCACAGGAAUUGGCUGCUGAAGGGGGAAAAAAAAUGGCAGAAACUGGGCAUAAAUGAGUUAAACAGCCACCUGUGGCAGUUCUUGACACCCUUGCAAAGCUAAGUUCUUGACAUCUUGCAAAGCUAAGGAUGGGUGAGCUGUAUAAAACCACCAAAGCAAGUAUCUUGAUCCUUCAAGUCUAGCUAGGAGCCAGAUGAGCAAGUAAAUCUAGCUUUGCAGCACACCUCAUCCUGAGCAAUCCACAUCCGUCAGAGUUAGGUCAAGAAGGUAGAUAGGUAUUAGAAAGGAAACUCCCUAACUCAAAAGAAUUGCCCAAAGAAAAGACAACAUAGACAGCCAGAGGUACACAAUAGUAUUUUCCAUCAUCACUCUGUUUUGUCCAGAUGUGUAUUACAUUGUUUCCAUAGUCUGCCACUUGAUUCAGCUUUUGUACUCAGUAAAUCAAUAAUACAACCUGUGGAUGACCACAGAAUGUAUAUUAAUGGCAGGUUUUGCUUUUCUUCCCCAGCCCUAUUCAGAUAUACAAUGCCCUACCUUUGUUUUGAGAUCCUUUCCCAUUUCUCCCAUCCCCAACAGAUAACAAGGACAUUGCCUCACAACACACAAAGAGGCCCAAAGGCACGCCUUCAGCAAAGGAAAGGCACCUGCAUUCCAACUGAAGUGUAGCAAGUGAUGGCAAUGUUAGAG